rnacentral:lncRNA from 1 species
UUUUUUUUUUUUCUCCAUUCCCCCUCCACCCCCCCAGGUUACUCUAUACAUCACUCAAGCGAUUUUACCUCUUGUAUGGCAGGCAGAUGACACUCUGCUAAGCAUAUAUCAGAGGCCUGGCACCCAAAGGACUUUGGUAUUAUUUCAACAGGAUUCUGAUUUACGCAGAGCAGGGAUGGCAGAAAUAUUCAUUUGAUGAGGAUGACAACAAAGCUAGGAGAUAACAAUCAGAGUUGGUCUGAAGGGAAGGGAUAGAAAGAAUGCAUUACUUCUUGUUUGUUUGAAAUAGGUGGAGUCCCCUUAGCCAUCAGGGGGGCUCCGAGAUAGGGCAGAGAUUAAACUGAUCUACUCCCUGAUCUGAUCUGGUGAUUGCCAUACCCUCAGGAGAUCCCAACAGUAGAAAUAAGCUAAGUGACACACUUUUCUAAGUCAAGAAACAUCUGCCAAAACCUUGCCAUUCAAAAAUGCAGAGCACUCACUGGAAAAGACUUAAACUGAGCCAUUCUGAAUGUUUGUGAGGCAAUGGUGAAACACUUCAAAACCCUUCAACUUCCCACUGGUUGGCAGAGAUGCCUUGUAGUUAGACAAAGUAGACUAGAAGUGAGAGGAGAGCUUUCUACCUCACCUGCCAAGUGACAUUCUAUUUAAUCUAUUCUUUGGAUUAUCUGGGUUACUGAAUGUCUAUGCCAAAGACAUUCAAGAGACAAUUCAGGUCCAGCUAGACUCUGUUUUGUAUCAUCUUGUCUCCAGUAAGUUAGGACAAACAAAACCUUCUAGCUUGAUCUGGCACCAGAUCUAGGAAGAACAAUACACAGAUGCCCCAAUCAUUUCUUCCACCCUAAAGCUCUAGGAAUUGUAUAUUUGUUCAGUCAAAGGAUUGAGCCCAAGCUGUUACGUACGAACAGUAUUGUGCCAAAGCUGAUAAGCCAUCCUGGAACCCAGAGCACUGGGGAAAGCAAUGAUGAGACCCCCCCUGCCUCUGAAUCAAGUACACCUCAGCAUAAUCAGCAAUGAUUAAAGCAGUAGGUCUCAAGCCCUGUUUGUGAUAAGAAGGAUAAAACUCUACACCAAAUACUAUGAGACAUUCUACCUGGACUUCUGUGUUCUCGGAUAUCCCGACCAUCCAACACUGAGUAAUGAAAGGCAUUAAAAAUAUCUACAAGUAUAACAAAAGUGACAUCACAUCUGCGUUGUCAGGGUCUUAUCCCUAAAAUAUGAAUUAUACUAUACACCUUGGAAGACUAAUGUUAUAGCAAUCAGUUGAUCAAUGGACUAACCUCAUCAGAGGCAUAAGUGAGUUACACUCCCACUGAGUUACAGUAGAGUCAAGGUAAGUCCAGUCUCAAAGCUCAUUAAAUCCAUAAUAAAACUUGCUUAAUCUAAUAUUUUAAUAUAUAUGCUUGCAAUAUAGAGAGAUGAGAAGAACUGUUUGUGACCUGUGUACUGAAAUGAUAUGAAACCCUGCAGGAAUAGCUAUGUAAAAUCAGCCUUCCCUUCCUGCUCAGUAACUUUAGAAAUCUGGAAAACACAUCAUGACUGAUACAAUUUGCAUUUGUCUUUCCCCUCCAAAUCCUCAACUACAUUACAAAUUACGUCUCGGGAAGAAUCACUUUAGUGCUUGCUGAAAAAAAAAUACAGCCAGCAGCAACAUUUUAAAGAGCAUACUCAAUCAUAACACAAUAUUCUGGCUCUACUACAAAUUAUUACACGUAGGUCACACCAAAAGUAAUGCCUCUUAUUUAUUUCCAUAGAAACUAUAACAUUUUGAAGAGCACAAGAACACUAUUCAACAGAGCAAAUUCUCAGCCACAAAACAGUAUUUUUCAACACAGUCACCACAAUUAGCUAUGCAUUCUCACCAGUGAUGAACAAGAACCUGUGUGCCAUGCUCAUAAAAAUCUGCAUCAGCAGAUUUCAACUGUCGCUGUCAUCACUGUUGAAAUACACCACACCACCUAACGGUGCUCACAUACACUGUUUUUUUCUCCGUAAAUAUUCAGUAAGCGUCAAUGAAUGCUAACGGGUAUCACAUUUUCCUGCAUGGAGAAAUUUAGUGACACACCUUUGCUUCAUAUGCACUUCCAUGUCAGACACCAAUCUAUCAGACUGCCCCUCUGCUGCUAUCUGUCACAUAACAACAAAAGGUAAUGGAGUACUGAUGGAAAUGUUCAGCCUCUACUGCCACACCACCAACACCCACCUCUGACACUGUGAACCAACAAAAUACAAUAGGAGACAUUACUUCCAGAGCAGCCCUUGCACAACGUCUGAGAUUAUCACACGCAGAUUCAUCAGGCUUCACAGGAGAUGUUUGGUUGCUUUGAAAAUGAAUUUAUUUGGUAAUAUUGUCAGAUCAAGAUUCAUACUCAAAUCCAAACUUUACCCAAAUAAGCAUCAUUCGAAUCCAAAAUUUGCUCCUGCCCAUUAGCUUAUCAUACAAUUCAGAAAGCAUUAUUUAAAGGUGCUUGCACAGGAGGGAACUCUACUCCAAGCUCUGCCACACAAUGAUAGCAUGCACCUUACUAAUUACUGCUUUCUUCAUGACCAUAUUUUUGAACUGAAGCGCACAAAGACAUUAUGUCAGAGAAUUAAAAGAAGGCAGACUGAAUCGCCAACCACAAAGCAAAAUUAUUCUUUUGGUUGUAAUCACUCUACAAAAAUUGUGAAUGAAAAAAUACGUGGUCUCAAUUGUACUCUGAAAGUAUCAAUAUCUUGUGAACCAUAAAAUACUAUCCCAGUAAAAACGUUCAGGCCCUUGCAAUGGCAAUGGAGCAGAUAUGAAAAGCACAAAUGAGGAAAACUGAGGUGUAGAAGAGAGAAUUGAAUUGCUUCAGACCACACUAAGUUAGCAGGAGAACUAGAGACUGACUGGUUUGUACUCUGUACAAAGGGAAUGAGCAAGCUCAUGUACAUGAACAGAAAUGCUAACUACCUGCUACCUGCUUAAUAAAUACAUUCUAGAAUUUAUGUCACUGGAGCGCUAUGGUUCUGCUCUUGUGGCUUCCCCACUCUAAAUUGCACUGUGAUGAUCACAUCAGACUUUUAUCUCUCUGAUCCAUAUUGUUACUGCUCAUUUAGACAUAGCCAGCAUGGUGCUGAGCUAAACCAAGAAUCUGGUCCAAACACUAACCUCAAGGUAAAGCCAAAAGUCACUGAUUGCUGUUUCACAGCCUCACUAAAUUUACCCUUUUCUAGCUGUGAGUUAGCUAAGUUUCAACUUUCCCACAGAAAGUCAAGUGAGAAUGAAUGGCUGCCUGUCCAACAUUCCUUACCCGAGGGCAGAUUUGCUCUGGUCACAGUUACUAGCGCCAUGAUCUGGCAGAUGAAAGCAGCUUUAAUGAAAAGACAGUGAACAGCAUCUCAGACUCCCAGCUGUUUUGUGAUGCAGGCAACAAAAAAGACUUGCUAAAAAUAUCUCAUCAGAAAUGUGAUCCAACUAAAUAUAACUCUGGGUUUUUUAUUUGUUGGUUUUUUAUGUGACUUUAACAGAGCAUACAUGGAGAUGAGACAUCCUGGCGUAUGAGUUCAAGAGCUAUGCUAUGAUUUCCUCCCAUUGAGUCUACUUGCAGCCAUAUGCUAAAUAGAACAGCACUAAAGAAAAGACCAAGAUACGCCAUUUUUGUCCUGAAUCUAAGCUGAAAUAACUAUAGUUGAAAUGUUCACUUUUUUUAUAGUUCCUCAAAUACAUUUUCAUGAAUGUUAUUAUAUGCUUCCACAAAACAAAUUUCCUUCACUACACCUUUAGUUGUCACCCUACUUAAAGAACACAUUAGCUGCUAAGCAGCAUAUAUGAGAUGAAGGAGACGGAUCCUUGAGUAAAAUAUUUUAUUCAUUUAAGAGACAUAAGACUCAAUACAAGAACUGAGGAGUCCAACCACCUGAAGAACACCUUACUAUAUGCUUGACUGUAAAUGUAAUUGCUUUCUCUAUCUAUUCACCCCAAGUCAAAGAAACAAGAAUCAACCAUUUCCCCCUCUAGCGAAUGAGAAAGGAGAACUGAUUACAGGAGACAUGGAAAAGGCUGAGGUACUC